AUGUGUCUAACUUGAUAGAACAAGGGGGUAGGACCGGAUGGCCUUUGGAGUACCGCCCAGCUUGAGGACUGAUCCUUCUGCACACUCAACCCCCGUACUCUCUAUCUCUCUCUUGCUGUUUUCUUGCUUUGGGAAUUGGCCCGUUUCCCUGUGUGGUCCUCCCACAUUGGGCUCUGUGGAGAUAAAAAGUAGAUCGCUGCAAAGGGACGGAGGCCGGAGCAAUGAAGCUUUCCCCUUUGGUGAUUCUCUUUCAUUUCGCUGCAACAGGGUCGAAAGGCAAGAUUUUCUCGAGAUGCCAUUUGGCCCAUAUUCUGCACAAUGCUAAGGUGGACGGAUACGAGGGCGUCCGCUUGGCUGACUUUUACAUCAGGUUAAAGAACAUGCAGUCCUUCAGAAGUUGUUGGGUUGUAACUCCCAUUGGCUACAUUGGUCAACAACAUCUGAAGGUAAGUAUAUAUUAAUUAUAUUAAUCUAUAUGACUUGGUGGAUCUGGACCAAAUUUGGUACACAAGACCCAUCAUAUAUUUAUUUCAUGUCAAAAGCAUUGCAUAACAAAUACAUUUUAAAAUGAUGAAGAAAAAAAAUAGAGGAAAUCACAAACAACUAAAUAGUUUUAGACCAGAAACGGGCAACAGCAACCGCAUUGUCCGUAGCUUUAAACAACUCCUCCUCCAUGCAUGAGGCAGGGCAUUGUGGGCAAGCAUACAUAUGCUGAGUUGUUUGUUCUGCUCCACAGUCACACAAGGUGGAGGAUUCCUCCAGGUAGUGCCACCUCGCCAAGUUGUCUUUAGAUCUGCCCACUCCACUUCUGAGUCUGUUCAGGGACUUCCAAGUUGCGCAUUCUUGGUUUGCCCCUGGAGGAAGACCCUCUUGGGGGGCCAUCCAGUUAGAAUUGCCAGGUUUUAGCUGCCCAGAGGGACACCCUUGCUGCUGCUGGAGGAACAUCAAGAGGAGUGGUGGUUCUCAUGAAGCCCUUCCUUGAUUUGAGUCUGGUGGGCGGAGGCUGAUAGUCAUGCAGUGGGUGGCUUUCACAAUGUUCAACCUUAUUUCUCUCACCGUUAGCAGCAACUUCCCGUCGCACGUCAGGAGGGGCAAUGCCAGCUAACUUGUAGAGUUUAUCAACAGGUGUAGGUUUAAGGCAUCCUGUGAUUAUUCUGCAUGUUUCGUUUAGUGCUAUGUCCACUUGCUUUGCAUGGGCAGACUUGUGCCAAACAGCACUACUACGUUUGUUGUAAUGUUGAGGUCAGAUUUGCCCUCCGCGACUUGCCGGAUCCGGCGGGUUACCCACCCUUCGGUGGAACCUCGGAUCGACAGCAGUCCACUCGGUGGGGUGUCUCUUCCUUAUUCAUUUGUGGGUUUGAUUUCUGUGCCACCAUGUCUAAAAUAACACACAUGUGUGAACAAAGAGAUUCUAAUUUCGUGUUUGUCAAUCCUAAUAGGUAUAAUUCUGGUCUCAUUUGGAGUUUCUUUUUCAUUAUUUUUCCGCAUUCUUUGUGUAUUUCUUUCCAAUAUUUCUUUGACUUAGUGCAUGACCACCACAUAUGAAAGAAUUUGCCCUCUUGCUCCUGGCAUUUCCAGCACUUUGUUCGUAUGUCUUUAUUGUAGUGUCCUAAUUUUUCCGAGGUGAUGUACCAUCUGUAUUGCAUUUUAUAUUGGUUUUCUUUUAGGUCCGAGGCGUAGGUGAAUUUUAUGUUUUUGUUCCAUAUCUUUUCCCAUUCCUCAUACCUGAUUGGUCUUCCAAUGUCUCUGGCCCAAUGAGUCAUGCAUUCCUUGACAUGUUCUGUUUCGGUAUUCCAUUCCAAUAGUUUUUUGUAUGAGUAUGAUUCUUAUGGUUACCACGGAGGUGCUAGUCGCCUUUGCCCACACAACUUAUAAGUUUGGUUGAGCAAUUAAAAAACGGUUUAACUACACACACACACACACACACACACAUAUAUAUAUAUAUAAAGAAAGGGAACAUCCACAGGGGGUACAUUCCUGAACUUACCACGUGGAUAUGAAAGUAUGGAAAAUAGUGAACCUUAUUCAAAUGGCUGAUUUCUGCUAGAAGUUACCAUAGAGGUAUCCACUCUAGGAUUUUGCACUAGGGAAACUCUGUGGUAAUUUCAGGCUUCAAUCUGAUGUUUGGAUUAACUCAGAAAUACACAGAGCCAAUAUGAUUUAGAAGAGGAAUGAUUUCUGAGAGACUCAGCUCAGGUAAGAUAACCUAAAGGCACAGGUAACUGAUCCCAUUUGAUCUUGAAAAUGAAACAGGGAUAGCUCUGGUUAGUAUUUAUUUAUAUAUUUAUUUAUUUACAGUAUUUAUAUUCCGCCCUUCUCACCCCGAAGGGGACUCAGUGCGGAUCACAUUACACAUAUAAGGCAAACAUUCAAUGCCUUAGCAUAGAACAAAGACAGGGACAAACGCGGGCUCUGAGUUGGCCUCGAACUCAUGACCUCUUGGUCAGAGUGAUUUGUUGCAGCUGGCUGCAGCUGGCUGCUCACCAGCCUGCGCCACAGCCACAGGUCACUAAUAAAUACUGACAAAGGAACUGGCAAAACUACUUCUGAGUAGUCCUUGCCUAAGAAAAUCCUAUGAAAAUCAUGGGGUCAUCAUAACAGCCAACUUGAAGGCAUAAACUUGUAUAGAAUUGAAGACUGACUGCUCCAAAAUGUAUUCAGCAACUUGAACCCUGAUAGGUGUCAAAGGACAACCUGGAACUUUAGCACUCAUUGCAGAAUGCAUCAAAGGGCAUCACUUUGAGAUAGUGUAGAAAAUCUAAGAAGAAGCAGAGAGGAUAAAGAAAAAGGGAAAGAUGAAGAGAAAAACAGUUCACUGAAGCAUGGAUUUUUCCCAUUUAGAGGUUAUGUUCUCUGGACUCAGUCUGCUGGGCUCCUUUGUCCUCCUGCAUUUAAACUCAUGGCAGCUAGUUGAGCAUUAAGCAUAAAAGAAGAAACUUUUUGAAGGUUUUAAAAGCCUGGAAGGUUUAUGUGACAAAGAGCAGGAGGCUAAACAUAAGCGAUACCAGUGUAUUAAGCUAGCCUCUCAAAAGAGACAAGGCUACCUUUAAAUUGUUUAGGGCUCAACUGGAUGGGGGCUUCAGGUAGCUCUUGCCAUCUAUCUGGCUGAUGGAUCACAGUGGCUCAGUUGCCUUGGAUAUUUGGUUUCAAAAAAGAAAGGAUUAAUGUAUUUUUUCAAUCUUCAUAAUAUGCUGGAAUUUGAGCUGGAGUCUUUCUUAUCCAAGAUUGUGUUUCAUAAAAAAAGGCACCUUCUCUUUAGCUAUCCAAGGCAAGGGGUAGCUAAGGAAAAUGGGAUACACAUAAAAUCACAGGUUUUAGACUUUAUAAAGUAUUUUCUAUCUAAAUGCAGAUUUCUGGAAAAUGUCCUAGAAAAUUUUACACCCAGCAUGCAAAUCAGGACUCCACAGAGAAUUUCCACUAGGAGCUUCUU